UGCAACCUCCGCCUCUGGGGCUCCGCCAUCCUCCCCACUCAGCCUCCCAAGUAGCUGGAACUACAGCUGUACACCACCAUAACUGGCUAAUUUUUGUAUUUUUUGUGUGUGGAGAUGGGAGAUUUCGCCGUAUUUCCCAGGCUGGUCUCAAAUUCCUGACCUUAAGUUAUCCGCCUGCCUCGGCCUCCCAAAGUGCUGGGAUUACAAGCAUGAGCCACCUCGGCCGGAACAAUUUAAAAAUAUUUAAAGUCGUUUUAAGUGUCACUCUUUUCUUAACAGUAUUUUCUACCAAUUAAUGCCAACUGAGGUUCUUCUAUCUUUCAAGUCCAUUUCCAAACAGUCUAAGGAAAGAUGCAAAAUUCAAUUUCCACUCCAGCUACUGGAAAGCAGUAUUUAAUUUUAGUCCUGCCAAACAAAAUGAAGCAAGCGGUAAGUGAUUGUGGCACAUGGAAGUGUUUCAUGCUUCAGACCGAUUGAGUUCGUUGUCCUUUACUUUCCACUCUGAGGCUGGCUGCCCUGUUAAUUUCCAUUUUCUCAGGGAUUACACUGAUCUCAAUUUACACCGUAAUAAUAAUAAGAAGAAAAGAAUCAAGCUAAGUAAAUUACAGCAGAGAGCAAAACGUGGAAUGGAUGGGCCCUUACAGAAGAGACUUGUUUUCAGGCUGAGAACAAAGGAGUGUGGAUGGAUUAGGACAGCCUGAGUCCAGCCUCAGCCUCUUACCAGCUGGGCUCCUCACCUGAUCUCUCUAAGCCGGUUUUUUCAAGCACAAACAUAAUGACAACAAUACCUACUUAGAGGAUUUGGGAAUGCAAAGAGGAGAAAAAAUAUCCAUGAAAAUACUUGAAAAAAUUUUCCGUGCCGCACACGUCGGCUGCAGUUAGAUCAGGUAUUUAUCAAGUCACCCAAAUAUUUUUACCCACCAGCUUUUCUCUCCUCCUACUUUUUGCCUGUCUCCCAUGCCAGAGAGACAAAGGAGGUAAAAACCAAAGUCCUCAUCCUCUUCUCAAUCAAUUCAUUGGCUGGUUCUCAUCCCUGGCUGCAGAUCACAGACCCCGGGGAGCCUUCGCCCCACCCCAGGGCCAUUGCAACAAUCCCUCCGGGGUGGGGCAUGGGCUUGAAGCCACCACUUCAUAAACCCUCUCUCUGAACGUCCUUGAAAGGACUCUGCCAUACCCUGGGAGGUCACGUGGUUUUCUUGCUAAGGCUACUGCCAGCCAAGAAACCAAAGCUUUUGCUGAAAUGAAUCUGUUAAACAGCUGCUUCAAAUUCAACCUCACAGAUCCCUGGGGUAUGAAACUGUCUGCCCUCAUGGAGUUAAAUGGGCAUACUUUCAUUCUGGUAUGAUUGCAGCAUUUUAACUAGCAAUGUUAUGGAGUUUUUCAACAUUGAAAGUGGUUAUCUGUGACCCAUAAUUUGCGAGAUCUUUAAUUUAAUAUAAUUAGAGGGACACUCCUGAAACAAACGUCCACAUAACCAAAGGCAUUAGAUGACUACUCAAAUACAUUACUUCAGCACCUUUCUCCUUUCCCUUUCCUCUUCCGUGUCUCUUCCCAAAAAUGAUGCUUAAAUUCAGAGGUUUGGGUUUUGGGGGAUUUUUUUUUUAACUAAUUAAGCAAUUUAUCGGUUGCAACUAAGCUUAUUAAACUUCUGUAAUGAAAAUAUUACUUGUUUUUGGCCGGGCACGGUGGCUCACACCUGUAAUCCCAGCACUUUGGGAGGCCAAGGCGGGUGGAUCACCUGAGGUCAGGAGUUCGAGACCAGCCUGACCAACAUGGAGCAAUCCGGUCUCUGCUUAAAAUACAACAUUAGGCGGGCGUGGUAGUGCAUGCCUGUACUCCCAGCUACUCAGGAGGCUGAGGCAGGAGAAUGGUGUGAACCCGGGAGGCGGAGCUUGCAGUGAGCCAAGAUCACGCCACUUCACUCCAGCCUGGGCGACAGAGCGAGACUCCGUCUCAAAAAAAAAAAAAAAGAAAAAAGAAAAUAUUACUGGUUUUUGGUUAGUUUUAAGUCAGAGGCAUUCAUUAAUAAGGAAUCUUCAAAUGUGAGUGUUCCAGAAAUGUUCUCCAUGCCAUCUGAAUUAUCAAGAAUAAGUUUCUCUAGCCAGGCGUGGUGGGUUCAUGCCUGUAAUCCCAACACUUUGGGAGGCUGAGGGCAGCCUUAAGGUCAGGAGCCUUAAGAUCACUUAAGGUCAGGAGUUCGAGACCAGCCUGGUCAACAUAGUAAAACCCCCUUUCUACUAAAAACACAAAAAUUAGUCGGAUGUGGUAGUGGGCGCCUGUAAUCCCAGCUACUCGAGAGACUGAGGCAGGAGAAUCGCUUGAACCCAGGCAGCGGAGGUUGCAGUGAGCCAAGAUCGUGCCACUGCACUCCAGCCUGGGCGACAGAGCGAGACUCUGUCUCCAAAAAAAAAAAAGAGUAAAUAAUAAUUUUCUCUAGGCCGGACACCAGGUGCAGUGGCUCAUGCCUGUAAUCCCAGCACUUUGGGAGGCCAAGGUGGGUGGAUUACUUGAGGCCAAGCGUUUGAGACCAGCAGGAUUACAACAUGGUCUGGAUUUGAGGAUUUGCUCCUGGGCUUCACUGGUUAUCUGCACAUCGGUGCCAACUGGCAAAGGUCAAGGUAGGCUGGAUCCAGGCUGGAACCAGCAGGUGCCCUGAGGACUGCGACAGGAAGCCAAUUAGGAACAACUUCUUAUUGUCUCCUUGCUGAAAACCACAGAGUUCUUAUCUUCUGAAAACUUUGCUCUGGGCUGGAAGGCGUGGCUGGUUGCCCUGCUGGUAUCAGGGCCACAGUGGGAACCAGUACUGGCCAUUGGACUAAGUGUCCUUUUUUUAAUUAAAAAAAAAAAAGUUGGAUUAUUUUAUAUACAGUAUUAGUCCCUCUCCUCUCUCCUGCUUAAUUUGUAUUUAAUUUUCUCUUUUUUUUUUUUUUUGAGAAGGAGUCUCUCUCUGUCGCCCAGGCUGGAGUGCAGUGGCAUGAUCUCGGCUCACUGCAAGCUCCGCCUCCCGGGUUCACGCCAUUCUCCUGCCUCAGCCUCCCAAGUAGCUGGGACUACAGGUGCCCGCCACCAUGCCCGGCUAAUUUUUUUAUAUUUUUUAGUAGAGACGGGGUUUCACCGUGUUAGCCAGGAUGGUCUCGAUCUCCCGACCUCAUGAUCUGCCCGCCUCGGCCUCCCAAAGUGCUGGGAUUACAGACGUGAGCCACCACGCCCGGCCUAUAAAAAGUUGUAUUAUUAUAUUUUUAAAAUUUUUUAUUUUAUUUUAGUGUGUUUGGCAGAGUCACCCAGGCUGGAGUGCACUGGCACGAUCUCAGCUCACUGCAGCCUCCAUCUCCCAGGAUCAAGCGAUUCUCCUGCCUUAGCCUCCCGAGUAGCUGGGAUUACAGGCACCCGCC
rnacentral:lncRNA from 1 species